rnacentral:rRNA from 1 species
AUUGAACGCUGGCGGCAGGCCUAACACAUGCAAGUCGAGCGGAUGAAGGGAGCUUGCUCCUGGAUUCAGCGGCGGACGGGUGAGUAAUGCCUAGGAAUCUGCCUGGUAGUGGGGGAUAACGUCCGGAAACGGGCGCUAAUACCGCAUACGUCCUGAGGGAGAAAGUGGGGGAUCUUCGGACCUCACGCUAUCAGAUGAGCCUAGGUCGGAUUAGCUAGUUGGUGGGGUAAAGGCCUACCAAGGCGACGAUCCGUAACUGGUCUGAGAGGAUGAUCAGUCACACUGUAACUGAGACACGGUCCAGACUCCUACGGGAGGCAGCAGUGGGGAAUAUUGGACGAUGGACGAAAGCCUGAUCCAGCCAUGCCGCGUGUGUGAAGAAGGUCUUCGGAUUGUAAAGCACUUUAAGUUGGGAGGAAGGGCAGUAAGUUAAUACCUUGCUGUUUUGACGUUACCAACAGAAUAAGCACCGGCUAACUUCGUG